rnacentral:rRNA from 1 species
GAUGAACGCUGGCGGCGUGCCUAAUACAUGCAAGUCGAGCGAACAGACGAGGAGCUUGCUCCUCUGACGUUAGCGGCGGACGGGUGAGUAACACGUGGAUAACCUACCUAUAAGACUGGGAUAACUUCGGGAAACCGGAGCUAAUACCGGAUAAUAUAUUGAACCGCAUGGUUCAAUAGUGAAAGACGGUUUUGCUGUCACUUAUAGAUGGAUCCGCGCCGCAUUAGCUAGUUGGUAAGGUAACGGCUUACCAAGGCAACGAUGCGUAGCCGACCUGAGAGGGUGAUCGGCCACACUGGAACUGAGACACGGUCCAGACUCCUACGGGAGGCAGCAGUAGGGAAUCUUCCGCAAUGGGCGAAAGCCUGACGGUGCAACGCCGCGUGAGUGAUGAAGGUCUUCGGAUCGUAAAACUCUGUUAUUAGGGAAGAACAAAUGUGUAAGUAACUAUGCUCGUCUUGACGGUACCUAAUCAGAAAGCCACGGCUAACUACGUG